UCGACGAGCGGGAGAGAGCUUGCUUUCUCGAGCGAGUGGCGAACGGGUGAGUAACGCGUGAGGAACCUGCCUCAAAGAGGGGGACAACAGUUGGAAACGACUGCUAAUACCGCAUAAGCCCACGGCUCGGCAUCGAGCAGAGGGAAAAGGAGCAAUCCGCUUUGAGAUGGCCUCGCGUCCGAUUAGCUAGUUGGUGAGGUAACGGCCCACCAAGGCAACGAUCGGUAGCCGGACUGAGAGGUUGAACGGCCACAUUGGGACUGAGACACGGCCCAGACUCCUACGGGAGGCAGCAGUGGGGAAUAUUGCACAAUGGGGGAAACCCUGAUGCAGCGACGCCGCGUGGAGGAAGAAGGUCUUCGGAUUGUAAACUCCUGUUGUUGGGGAAGAUAAUGACGGUACCCAACAAGGAAGUGACGGCUAACUACGUGCCAGCAGCCGCGGUAAAACGUAGGUCACAAGCGUUGUCCGGAAUUACUGGGUGUAAAGGGAGCGCAGGCGGGAAGACAAGUUGGAAGUGAAAUCUAUGGGCUCAACCCAUAAACUGCUUUCAAAACUGUUUUUCUUGAGUAGUGCAGAGGUAGGCGGAAUUCCCGGUGUAGCGGUGGAAUGCGUAGAUAUCGGGAGGAACACCAGUGGCGAAGGCGGCCUACUGGGCACCAACUGACGCUGAGGCUCGAAAGUGUGGGUAGCAAACAGGAUUAGAUACCCUGGUAGUCCACACCGUAAACGAUGAUUACUAGGUGUUGGAGGAUUGACCCCUUCAGUGCCGCAGUUAACACAAUAAGUAAUCCA
rnacentral:rRNA from 1 species